rnacentral:tRNA from 2 species
GGGAAGUAGCUCAGCUUGGUAGAGCACUUGGUUUGGGACCAAGGGGUCGCAGGUUCGAAUCCUGUCUUCCC